rnacentral:rRNA from 1 species
UACGGAGGGUGCAAGCGUUAUCCGGAUUCACUGGGUUUAAAGGGUGCGUAGGCGGGUUGGUAAGUCAGUGGUGAAAUCUCCGAGCUUAACUUGGAAACUGCCGUUGAUACUAUCUGUCUUGAAUAUUGUGGAGGUGAGCGGAAUAUGUCAUGUAGCGGUGAAAUGCUUAGAUAUGACAUAGAACACCAAUUGCGAAGGCAGCUCGCUACACAUAUAUUGACUCUGAGGCACGAAAGCGUGGGGAUCAAACAGG